CUAACUGUCGCUAACUUACCGCGGCUGUUAGCGGGUUGGAAGUACAGAGAGACAGGCUGAACGCAGGGUCGUCGUCCUCAGCAGUGAACACAGCAUGGCUCCGCUGAAGUUCUGUGCGAAUAUUUCCUGGCUCUUCACGGAGAUUCCAGACUUCACUCAGCGGAUAUACGCGGCUGUUUCGGCUGGCUUUCAGGCCGUAGAGGCAGCCUGGCUGUACGACUGCGACCUGCAGGAGCUUCAGAGGGCCAGAGAGGCUACAGGAGUGGAGGUGGUCCUCAUCAACACCCCGCCGGGAGAUGUAAAGGCAGGUGAUCUUGGUCUUGGAGCAGUUCCUGGAAGAGAGGCAGAGUUCAGACAGGGUCUGGAUCUGGCUCUGAAGUAUGCAAGAGCGUUGGACUGCAAAAGGAUCCACCUGAUGGCCGGGAGGUUCCCUGUGGGCUCACACAGAAUGGCAGUUGCCAAGGAGAUGGAGGCCAUCUUUGUGCAGAACCUAAACUAUGCUGCUGAUAUCCUCUCAAAGGAAGGAAUCACUGGUUUGAUUGAACCAAUCAACACAAGGAUUACAGAUCCCAGGUACUUUCUGGACUCUCCUCAUCAAGCAGCUGCAAUUCUAGAGAAGGUUGGAAAGCCAAAUAUCAAGCUGCAAAUGGAUGUUUUUCACUGGCAAAUAAUGGAUGGAAACCUGACACACAACAUACACAAGUAUUUCCCCAUAAUCGGUCACGUUCAGAUUGCUCAGGUUCCGGGCAGGAAUGAGCCUGACAGUGCCCGGAGAGCUUGACUACAGCUACCUGUUGAACACUCUGAAGGACCACGACUACCAGGGAUACAUCGGCUGUGAAUAUAAGCCACUUGGCUUCACAGAGGAGGGUCUGGGUUGGAUCAGAGAAUACUGCACGCACAGCAAGUGAUGAUCCAAUCACACCACUUCUACCUGGACUAACUUUUUCCAAGUUCCAUUCUAGUGGCCUUAUCUUAACACACAUGACCUAAACAUUUAUUUUGUACAAUCAAGAAAUACAGUUGCAAGAAAAUGUAUGUGAACCCUUUUGGAAUUACCUGGAUUCCUGGUUGGUCAUAAAAUGUGUUCUGAGCUUCAUCUAAGUCACAACAAUAGACAAACACAGUCUGCUUAAACUCAUACCACACAAACAA